CCUACGGGUGGCAGCAGUAGGGAAUUUUGCGCAAUGGGCGAAAGCCUGACGCAGCAACGCCGCGUGAUUGAUUAAGCCCUUCGGGGUGUAAACAUCUGUCAUUGGGGACGAAAAUUGACGGUACCCACAGAGGAAGCACCGGCUAACUCCGCGCCAGCAGCCGCGGUAAUACGGAGGGUGCAAGCGUUGUCCGGAAUCAUUGGGCGUAAAGAGUUCGUAGGUGGCAUAUUAUGUCUGGUUUUAAAUGCAGAUGCUCAACGUGUGUUCGGCACUGGAUACUGGUAAGCUUGAAUGCGGUAGGGGUAAAGGGAAUUCCUGGUGUAGCGGUGAAAUGCGUAGAUAUCAGAAGGAACAUCGGUGGCGUAGGCGCGUUACUGGGCCGUAAUUGACACUGAGGAACGAAAGCCGGGGUAGCAAAUGGGAUUAGAUACCCUAGUAGUC
rnacentral:rRNA from 1 species